rnacentral:lncRNA from 1 species
CUGGAAUUCCCCACCCCCACCCAAAAUCCAUUUUUCUCCAUUUUUUCCUCCCUUUCUCUCCAUUUUUUCCUCCCUUUUUCUCCCUUUUUCUCCAUUUUUCUCUCCAUUUUUUCCUCCAUUUUUCUCCAUUUCUUUUUCCCUUUUUCUCCAUUUUUUUCUCCCUUUUCCUCCAUUUUUUCCUCCCUUUUUCUCCAUUUUUUUUCUCCAUUUUUUUCUCCAUUUUUCUCCAUUUUCUUCUCCAUUUUUUUCUCCAUUUUUUUCUCCAAUUUUUUCUCCAUUUUUUCCUCCAUUUUUCUCCAUUUUUUCUCCAUUUUUUCUCCCUUUUUCUCCAUUUUUUUCUCCCUUUUGCCCCAUUUUUCUCCAUUUUUCUCCAUUUUUUCCUCCCUUUUUUCUCCAUUUUUCCUCUUUUUUCCUCCCUUUUCCCCCAUUUUUUCUCCCUUUUUCUCCAUUUUUCUCUCCAUUUUUUCCUCAAUUUUUCCCCAUUUUUUCCCUUUUUCUCCAUUUUUUCUCCCUUUUUCUCCUUUUCUUCCUCCCUUUUACUCCAUUUUUUCUCCAUUUUUCUCCUUUUUUUUCUCCAUUUUUCUCCAUUUCUUUCUCCAUUUUUUCCUCCACUUUUCUCCAUUUUUUCCUCCACUUUUCUCCAUUUUUUUCCCCAUUUUUCUCCAUUUUUUCUCCAUUUUUUCUCCAUUUUUCUCCAUUUUUUCUCCAUUUUUUCUCCCUUUUUCUCCAUUUUUUUCUCCAUUUUUUCCUCCCCUUUUCUCCAUUUUUUUCUCCAUUUUUUUUCUCCAUUUUCUCCCUUUUUUUCUCAUUUUUUUUCCUCCCUUUUUCUCCCUUUUCCUCCCUUUUUCUCCAUUUUUUCUCCCUUUUCCUCCCUUUUUCUCCAUUUUUUCCUCCAUUUUUUUCUCCAUUUUUUCUCCAUUUCUUCCUCCCUUUUUCUCCAUUUUUCUCCAAUUUUUUCUCCAUUUUUUCUCCAUUUUUUUCUCGAUUUUUUCUCCAUUUCUUCCUCCCUUUUACUCCAUUUUUUUUCUCCAUUUUUCUCCAUUUUUCUCCAAUUUUUUCUCCAUUUUUUCUCCUUUUUUUUCUCCAUUUUUUCCUCCCUUUUUCCCCAUUUUCCUCCAUUUUUUUCCUUUUAUUCUCCAUUUUUCACCCUUUUCCUCCAUUUUUUCUCCAUUUUUUCCUCCCUUUUUCCCCAUUUUUUUCCAUUUUUCUCCAUUUUUUCCUCCCUUUUUCUCCAUUUUUCCUCCCUUUCCCCCAUUUUUUCUCCAUUUUUCUCCCUUUUUUUCCUCCCUUUUCCCCCAUUUUUUCUCCAUUUUUCCCCAUUUUUUCCUCCCUUUUUCUCCCUUUUUCUCCUUUUUUUUUCUCCAUUUUUCUCCAUUUCUUUCUCCAUUUUUUUUCCUCCCUUUUUCUCCAUUUUUUCCUCCCUUUUUCUCUAUUUUUUCCUCCAUUUUUUUCUCCAUUUUUCUCCCUUUUUCUCCAUUUUUUUCCCCAUUUUCCCCCAUUUUUCCCCCUUUUUCUCCAUUUUUUUCCCCAUUUUUCCCCCUUUUUCUCCAUUUUUUUCCCCAUUUUUCCCCAUUUUCCCCAUUUUUCCCUCCAGCCGCGCUAGGAUUCGUGGUAAGAAAUCAAAACCACACCGAACAAGCCCGAACGGCCCCAGAUUUGGGGAGGGAUUUUUAAUUCCUUCCCUCCCGAGGACAGAAAUUCUCUCGCUGCUGCCCGGAAAUAACUUAAACACCCCAAAAACCCCAACCGGGCUCUUUUUGGCUUCUGCUUUUUGUCACGCAUUGCUUUGCCACCU